CCUGGUGGCUUGAGCGGGGCGGACCCACCCGUUCCCAUCCCGAACACGGUCGUGAAACGCCCCAGCGCCGACGAUACUGAGAGGGCAACCUUUCGGGAAAAUAGGUCGCUGCCAGGA
rnacentral:rRNA from 1 species